rnacentral:rRNA from 1 species
UACGUAGGGACCGAGCGUUGUCCGGAUUCAUUGGGCGUAAAGAGCUCGUAGGCGGCUGUUCAAGUCGAACGUGAAAACUCGGAACUCAACUCCGAGCCUGCGUUCGAUACUGGACGGCUAGAGUCUGGUAGGGGGAUCUGGAAUUCCUGGUGUAGCGGUGGAAUGCGCAGAUAUCAGGAGGAACACCGGUGGCGAAGGCGGGAUCCUGGGCCAGUACUGACGCUGAGGUGCGAAAGCGUGGGGAGCAAACAGG